rnacentral:rRNA from 1 species
UAUCGUACGUACCGUAUCGUAAGGUGUCCUGUAUGCAUGACUUGGUAACCGAGAUCAACGCGUAGGUACCCUGCCUUGUAACGGGGGAUAACUAUUGGAAACGAUAGCUAAUACAGCAUAACAAUGGAUGACACAUGUCAUUUAUUUGAAAGGGGCAAUUGCUCCACUACAAGAUGGACCUGCGUUGUAUUAGCUAGUAGGUGAGGUAAUGGCUCACCUAGGCGACGAUACAUAGCCGACCUGAGAGGGUGAUCGGCCACACUGGGACUGAGACACGGCCCAGACUCCUACGGGAGGCAGCAGUAGGGAAUCUUCGGCAAUGGGGGCAACCCUGACCGAGCAACGCCGCGUGAGUGAAGAAGGUUUUCGGAUCGUAAAGCUCUGUUGUAAGUCAAGAACGGGUGUGAGAGUGGAAAGUUCACACUGUGACGGUAGCUUACCAGAAAGGGACGGCUAACUACGUGCCAGCAGCCGCGGUAAUACGUAGGUCCCGAGCGUUGUCCGGAUUUAUUGGGCGUAAAGCGAGCGCAGGCGGUUUGAUAAGUCUGAAGUUAAAGGCUGUGGCUCAACCAUAGUUCGCUUUGGAAACUGUCAAACUUGAGUGCAGAAGGGGAGAGUGGAAUUCCAUGUGUAGCGGUGAAAUGCGUAGAUAUAUGGAGGAACACCGGUGGCGAAAGCGGCUCUCUGGUCUGUAACUGACGCUGAGCUCGAAAGCGUGGGGAGCGAACAGGAUUAGAUACCCUGGUAGUCCACGCCGUAAACGAUGAGUGCUAGGUGUUGGAUCCUUUCCGGGAUUCAGUGCCGCAGCUAACGCAUUAAGCACUCCGCCUGGGGAGUACGACCGCAAGGUUGAAACUCAAAGGAAUUGAGGGGGCCCGCACAAGCGGUGGAGCAUGUGGUUUAAUUCGAACAACCGAAGAAUUACGUCUUGACUCCCGAUGCUUUUCUAAAGAUAGAAAGUUACUUCGACCUC